AUGUGCUUUAAGAGGUAGAGGAAAGGGGAAGUCAAAGCAGAUGUUCCCUACUCCUGCCUUUGUUAAACACAGCCUUUUAAGAAGUGCAAUAUUAAAACAAAAGCCAUGAGUCUUCUAAGCCCAGUGUGUAAAGAUACACUCUGAGUUAUAACUCAAAGGCACAAUU
rnacentral:snoRNA from 1 species